rnacentral:rRNA from 1 species
UACGUAGGUGGCUAGCGUUGUCCGGAUUUACUGGGCGUAAAGGGCGCGUAGGCGGCGUGUCAAGUCAGGCGUGAAAGCCCCGGGCUCAACCUGGGAACCGCGCUUGAGACUGGCAUGCUCGAGUUCGGGAGAGGAUGGUGGAAUUCCCAGUGUAGAGGUGAAAUUCGUAGAUAUUGGGAAGAACACCGAUGGCGAAGGCAGCCAUCUGGACCGACACUGACGCUGAGGCGCGAAAGCGUGGGGAGCAAACAGG